UCAGAUCACGCUCCAGUGAGGGAAUUAAGGAUGGCACGUUGUCCUUGUAACGGGGAUCCGGCAGGGUGGCCACCCAGUAAUCAGCAAAAGUUAGAAUGUGGGCAACUCGGUAGUCGCUGCGCAGGCACUUUGGUGACUCUAGAUAACCUCGGCCCGAUCGCACGUCCCCGUGACGGCGACAAUGCAUUCGGAUGUCUGCCCUAUCAACUUUCGAUGUUACUUUCUGCGCCUACCAUGAUGACGACGGGUAACGGGGAAUCAGGGUUCGAUUCCG